rnacentral:rRNA from 1 species
GACGAACCGUGCGAACGUUAUUCGGAAUCACUGGGCUUAAAGCGCGUGUAGGCGGACUGCCACGUCGGGCGCUGAAAUCCCCCGGCUCAACCGGGGAAUGGGCACCGAUACGAGCAGUCUUGAGGGGAGUAGGGGGACCUGGAACUUCCGGUGGAGCGGUGAAAUGCGUUGAGAUCGGAAGGAACGCCCGUGGCGAAAGCGAGGUCCUGGGCUUCUACUGACGCUGAGACGCGAAAGCCAGGGGAGCAAACGGGAUUAGAUACCCCGGUAGUCCUGGCUGUAAACGAUGGGCACUGGGUAGGGGGCUCGCCGAUGGGCUCCCUGCCGCAGGGAAACCGUGAAGUGCCCCGCCUGGGGAGUAUGGUCGCAAGGCUGAA